AGAGUUUGAUCCUGGCUCAGAAUGAACGCUCGCGGCGUGCAUAACACAUGCAAGUCGAACGGGAAAGUCCUCGCAAGGGGAUGAGUACAGUGGCAGACGGGUGAGUAAUAGGUGGAUAACCUGCCCUCGAGUUGGGAAUAACCUAGCGAAAGCUGGGCUAAUACCGAAUGACGUUGCGCCUCUUCGGGGGUCGCAAUCAAAGAUGGCCUCUGUAUACAAGCUAUCGCUCGAGGAGGGGUUCACCUCCCAUUAGCUAGUUGGUGAGGUAACGGCCCACCAAGGCAACGAUGGGUAGCCGGCCUGAGAGGGUGAUCGGCCACACUGGAACUGAGACACGGUCCAGACUCCUACGGGAGGCAGCAGUGGGGAAUUUUGCGCAAUGGGCGAAAGCCUGACGCAGCAACGCCGCGUGGGUGAUGAAGGCCUUUGGGUCGUAAAACCCUGUCGAGAGGGACGAAAUUCGGGGCAGCGAAUAGCUGCUUCGAUUGACUGUACCUCUGGAGGAAGCCCCGGCUAACUCCGUGCCAGCAGCCGCGGUAAUACGGAGGGGGCGAGCGUUGUUCGGAAUCAUUGGGCGUAAAGGGCGCGUAGGCGGCCUUGUAAGUCAGAUGUGAAAGCCCUUGGCUUAACCAAGGAACUGCAUCUGAAACUGCGGGGCUUGAGUCCGGGAGGGGAGAGUGGAAUUCCCAGUGUAGCGGUGAAAUGCGUAGAUAUUGGGAGGAACGCCGGUGGCGAAGGCGGCUCUCUGGACCGGUACUGACGCUGAGGCGCGAAAGCUAGGGGAGCAAACGGGAUUAGAUACCCCGGUAGUCCUAGCUGUAAACGAUGGGCACUUGGUGUGGCGGGUAUCGACCCCUGCCGUGCCGAAGCUAACGCAUUAAGUGCCCCGCCUGGGGAGUACGGUCGCAAGGCUGAAACUCAAA
rnacentral:rRNA from 1 species